AAUUUCAAUAGUUGGAAAAAUAUAUAAUCUUCAAUGCAAUGUCAUGGGAAUUAUUGCUCAGGAUGACACCAGAUUCUCGGGCUAGGGAUAUAGCUCAGUUGGCAGAGUGCCUGCUUACAUGCACAAGGCUCUGGGUUCGAUCCCCAGUACCCCACACACGCACACACAAAAGAGUCCAUUUCUGGGCCGGGGGUGCAGCUCAGCAGUAGAGCACUUGCGGAGCAUGUGUGAAGCCCUGAGUUCCAUCCACAGCACAUGCAAGAAGCAGUCCAUUAACUGCUGAUUUCAUCAAAACCCUUUAGUGAAUAGUAACACAGGUGACGUGGCAGAACUAGGGCGGCAAUGCAGAGUGGCAAGCUUUUGUGACUGGCUCCGUGUGUGCUCUUCCUGUGAGGGUCUGGGGGUAUCAGUUGUUAGGUGGGACUUUUUCAAAAACUUUGUUUUGCCUUAGAAAUGACCUAAAAUUUUUUUCUACAGAGAGCACGAUCCUAUGCAAUUUCCUGGGAUGAUGAAAAUGCUCUGUGCCCUCCCUCCAAAUGGGGCAAACAGGACGAGACUAUGCUACUGAGGAAUUUUAAUUUCAUUUAAUUUUAAUUAAGUUAAAUUUCAGUGGCCACAUGUGGCUUGGGGCUACCAUACUGGAUGGUACAGUUGACAGCAUUUUCCAAGGCAAAUAUCCCGUGAGCCACAUACAUAAUUCAAGUUGCUCUAGUGGCCACAUUUUAACAAGUAAAAGGAGACAGUUAAAACUAAUUUUAAGAGUAUAGUUAACCUGGGGCUGGGGUCGUGGGGCUGGGGUUGUGGCUCAGCGGUAGAGCGCUCACCUAGCGCAGGUAAGGCCGGGUUCGAUCCUCAGCACCACAUAAAAAUAAAUAAAUUAAUUAAAGAUAUUGUAUCCAACUACAGCUAAAAAAUAAAUAUUUUUUAAAAAAGAAUUUAUAGUUAACCCAAGCUGGGCACAGUGGCGCACGCUUAUAAUCCCAGCAACUUGGGAGGCUGAG
rnacentral:lncRNA from 1 species